UCUACAUUUAUGCAGUUAAAAUAAAGACUAAAGACAUGAAGCUGAGCUGAUUGAAGAAAGAAGUCUCUGAGUGGAGGAACCAGAGUUCUCCAGAUUCCUCCAUCACUGAUUCCUCACUGCUUAUUGAAUGAAGAAAUCUCACCAGAACCAGAUGUUGUCU